rnacentral:misc_RNA from 1 species
AAAGUCGUAACAAGGUUUCCGUAGGUGAACCUGCGGAAGGAUCAUUAUUGAAUACUCUUGAUGGGUUGUAGCUGGCUCUUCGGGGCAUGUGCACGCCUGUCUUGACUUUAUUCGUCCACCUGUGCACCUUUUGUAGUCUUGGAGGUUGAGAGCAGUCGACUAUCGGAUACUUUCCGGAUGUGACGAAUUGCUGAGUGCGAAAGCAUACAGCUCUUCUCAAAUGACUUGCAACACUUCUCUUCAAGUACUAUGUAUUCAUAUACCACAUAGUAUGUUGUAGAAUGUGAUCAAUGGGCUUAUAUGCCUAUAAUAAUCAUAUACAACUUUCAGCAACGGAUCUCUUGGCUCUC